CUAUUCAAAGAGAUUUUUCUCCAUCUCCACAAACGGUUCCUGGACAGGAAGGAGGAAGAUGGAGAAAGUGCCGCCUCUGGAAACGUUGCAGCCUUUGUCUGCCAGGGAGCCACGGAGAGGGGCCUUUCCCCCUACUCCCAAGCCCAUCAUCCCCAUCCUCUCCCUUCCCCUCAGAAGCGUUCCUCUUUCCCGCGCUUUCUAGAUUGCUGGCAUUUUGAAGGCAACGUCAUGCGCUUCCCCAUUGGUCCACUGGAGGGUGAACGUCACAGCUGCCUUUCCAGAGGAGACUAGGAAGGAAAUGACAUCACAAACGCUUGCCGCUCUAGGACUCCGCACUCGCUCUCCUUAACCCCUGGGGCUCCGCAAGAGGCGGAGAGGCUGCGGGAGAGUCUGGCGGGGGGAGAUCCAGAGGUUCUCCGGAUACAGAAACUUGAAGCCAUUUGAAAUCUCUGCAGGAGAGAGAAAGGAUGGAGACACAACCUUUUGGAAAGGAGGGAGCCGGAAAGUCAGGACAGCUCAGGAGGAGAGUCUUGUGUCCAUCGAGGAGGUGGCUGUCUAUUUCUCUGAGGAGGAAUGGUCUCAGCUGGAUCCUGACCAAAAAGCGCUACAUUUGGAAGUCAUGUUUGAAAACCAUCGGAACGUAGUCUCUCUGGAAAGUCAAGGCCAUCUUGCCCUGCACCUGGGAGGCUGGAACUAGGAGGCCUGUCCAGUUGGGACUAUGCUGUAAUUGGACCAUAUGAUGGACU